UACAGAGGGUGCGAGCGUUAAUCGGAAUUACUGGGCGUAAAGCGUGCGUAGACGGUCAUGUAAGUCGGGUGUGAAAGCCCCGGGCUCAACCUGGGAAUUGCAUUCGAGACUGCAUGGCUAGGAUGCGGAAGAGGAAGCGGAAUUUCCGGUGUAGCGGUGAAUGCGUAGAUAUCGGAAGGAACACCAGUGGCGAAGCGGCUCCUGGUCCAGCAUCGACGUUCAGGCACGAAGCGUGGGAGCAAACAGG
rnacentral:rRNA from 1 species